rnacentral:lncRNA from 1 species
CCUCGCUCCGGAACUGAGUUUUCCUAUAUCUUAAGACCGACUCAGACUGACCCUAGUCCAAAUAAUUAUGACGUGUGGCAAGGCUAUUUUAUUUUUUUUCAGGGACGCCUUCCUACGGAAAAAAAAUAAAAUAGCCUUGCCAGACAUCAUAAUUAUUUGGACUAGACUGACCCAUGUUCAACUGCUGUUCACAUGGAACCCUUCUCCCCUUCUGUUCCCAAAGUCUUUGUUUGAAUAUUUGCUACUAACACCAAGAUCUGCACCCGUGGAUGCCCAAGACCUAAACGCAC